rnacentral:lncRNA from 1 species
UUGACAAGCAAACCCUGCACUAUGAAAUCACUUUCUCUUGUCACCUUGGGCCUCAAAUAGCCAGAGUUGUGCUCAUUGUUUCAUCUAGGGGGGCUUUUUUACAGCAAAAUAGAACCACUUAAGCAUUAACUACACUCAAAAGACACAGAGUUGCAACUCUCAAACUAGUGAUUUCCAGAAUGUACCCUCCCCCCAUCUAAUGUUGAACCACAAUUGCUUUUCAUGUAAAUACUAUCUGAUUGUAUUAAAAAAAGAGAGUGGUUCUCCCCUCUAACCCUCUCCCAAAAGAGAGAGCUGCCCAUUAUUUAGGGUUUUUUUUUUUCUUUCCUUCCCUCCUUAUCGUUUUUUAGAACAAAAGAAUAAUCUUUUCAUCUGGGAGGGCUUCAGGCAGAACAGUUUUGAGAUGUCAGCCAACCAAGAGAAAUAUGACAUUACCAUUCUUUGAAAUCUUGUUCUGAAACUGUGGUUUUGGUACCCAGAUCAACCGGGCACUUGGCAAUGAAAAAGCUAAAACAAAACAUUACUGAAAAUAGUCCUACAAUGGUAUGGUGUUUCUAGGAUAAUCGUUUGUUAUAUUUUAACAAACAAAAGUCACUUAAACCUUUCAUUCUAUUUUCAUGGCUGCACAGGAACAGACAUGAAACAUUUCACAAAGCUGGCCACGAGCUGCCUGUUACAGGGGCAAGAAGCAAUCAUGGAAAAAACUUCAGCAAUGGCAACAUUUUUCUAUACAGAAGAAUGUUGGGCACCAAGGAGAGAGACCUGGCCUGGAAUGAAGCCAACAUGGAGGAAAAGUGAUCUAAGAAAUAAUGUGCGACUGUGUCCUGGUGAUGCAUAUGACCUCCUGGAUCCAUCUCUGCCUAAAAACAUACUGAUUCUUGGCAUGUUUGAAGCAAUAAUUCCUCUUUGCUUAAUAUAAGUUGACCGGAAGAGUUGUAACUAAGUUAUGGGUGAUCAGAAGAGUUAAAGCAACUUAAGUAAGGCCAAUGUGACUAUACCCAAUGAUUUGCAACAUGUGAGCUCUGAAGUUUUAAGUAAUAAAGUGGCUAAGAUUCAU